rnacentral:rRNA from 1 species
UGUGGGUGGGGGCCCGGCGCUAGCAGAAGGAGCUAAGUUGCUCUCAACCUUCGCCCUAUCAAGAACCCGGUGGCCUUCGCAGCGUGCGUACCGUCUACUCCUCCAUAGACUGGGUUUCCGUGAGGAUCUCCUAGCAUGCUUCCGAUUCACACAGAUGGUCACCAUACUUAUAGUCUUUACGCAAUUCUCUUAACUUCCACUACUCUGGCCCGUCUUCGUGACAUGACCGGUCAUGAAGCUAAUGACCUUUACGUAGCUGUUCGUACAACGACUCUUCGAGAAACUAUCGAAUUUUACUGUUCCUUUAACAAGAGAGAUCGAUGAAAAGUGAGUUGUCACCAUUAUUUAUCAUAGUGAACGUGCGGAAUAACUGUUAAGUCCAGAAAUAGUAGUAUAUACAUUUUCUUCCAAAACGGACAGCCCAUUGUGCUGUCAAAAAGACGCCGGUGAAAUGCAAAACAACAACAGUCUCCGCAACGACCGAGUGCUAUAUUAAAACAACACUUAACUCUAUAAGGGUCCUGACUCACUCCUGAUUUACGACGGUAAAAAAGGAUAACGAAAAAAC